rnacentral:tRNA from 1 species
GCCUCGGUAGUGUAAUAGAUCAGCACGGCAGAUAUGAUAUCUCUCAGUGCGGGUUCGAGUCCCGCCUGAGGUU